rnacentral:rRNA from 1 species
GAAAUCUGGGGGCUCAACCCCCCAGCCUGCAGUGGGUACGGGCAGACUAGAGUGCGGUAGGGGAGAUUGGAAUUCCUGGUGUAGCGGUGGAAUGCGCAGAUAUCAGGAGGAACACCGAUGGCGAAGGCAGAUCUCUGGGCCGUAACUGACGCUGAGGAGCGAAAGCAUGGGGAGCGAACAGGAUUAGAUACCCUGGUAGUCCAUGCCGUAAACGUUGGGAACUAGAUGUAGGGGCCAUUCCACGGUUUCUGUGUCGCAGCUAACGCAUUAAGUUCCCCGCCUGGGGAGUACGGCCGCAAGGCUAAAACUCAAAGGAAUUGACGGGGGCCCGCACAAGCGGCGGAGCAUGCGGAUUAAUUCGAUGCAACGCGAAGAACCUUACCAAGGCUUGACAUAUACCGGAAACGUCCAGAGAUGGUCGCCCCGCAAGGUCGGUAUACAGGUGGUGCAUGGUUGUCGUCAGCUCGUGUCGUGAGAUGUUGGGUUAAGUCCCGCAACGAGCGCAACCCUCGUUCUAUGUUGCCAGCACGUUAUGGUGGGAACUCAUAGGAGACUGCCGGGGUCAACUCGGAGGAAGGUGGGGAUGACGUCAAAUCAUCAUGCCCCUUAUGUCUUGGGCUUCACGCAUGCUACAAUGGCCGAUACAAAGGGCUGCAAUACCGUAAGGUGGAGCGAAUCCCAAAAAGUCGGUCUCAGUUCGGAUUGAGGUCUGCAACUCGACCUCAUGAAGUCGGAGUCGCUAGUAAUCGCAGAUCAGCAACGCUGCGGUGAAUACGUUCCCGGGCCUUGUACACACCGCCCGUCAAGUCAUGAAAGUCGGUAACACCCGAA